rnacentral:sRNA from 1 species
GCGCAGACCCCGAGCGCGGCCGCGGACGAAGAUGGCGACCGCCAUGUACUUGGAGCACUAUCUGGACAGUAUCGAGAACCUUCCCUGCGAACUUCAGAGGAACUUCCAGCUGAUGCGAGAGCUGGACCAGAGGACGGAAGAUAAGAAAGCAGAGAUUGACAUCCUGGCUGCAGAGUACAUCUCCACGGUGAAGACGCUGUCUCCAGACCAGCGCGUGGAGCGCCUGCAGAAGAUCCAGAACGCCUACAGCAAGUGCAAGGAAUACAGUGACGACAAAGUGCAGCUGGCCAUGCAGACCUACGAGAUGGUGGAUAAACACAUUCGAAGGCUUGAUGCAGACCUGGCGCGCUUUGAGGCAGAUCUGAAGGACAAGAUGGAGGGCAGUGAUUUUGAAAGCUCCGGAGGGCGAGGGUUAAAAAAAGGCCGGGGUCAGAAAGAAAAAAGAGGGUCCCGGGGCCGAGGCAGGAGGACAUCAGAGGAAGACACACCAAAGAAAAAGAAGCACAAAGGAGGGUAAGAGGCUUUCCCCUCUUUUUCCCAAAAGAACGAAUACCCAUAGCCUGUAUCCCGGAUGUAGGAACACUGAUGGAAGCUGACCUGAGUGAAGUGCACACCGUGUGCGGGGCGGUAUUCUGAUUCUUACGCUGUACGCCUGUCGUCAGCCCGUCCUCCCCGCAGCCUUUGAGGGGGUGCCGUUGUCAGGGGCAUUUUCAGUGUCGCAGGGACCUGCCCAGGCUUUAGGGCUGCUGUGGUGCAGCUGGGCCUGCACCUGGAGUCUGACUCCAGUGCCUGUCCUCUUAGCCACAUUGUGUGCUGCCCCACU